rnacentral:rRNA from 1 species
CCUACGGGAGACUGCAGUGGGGAAUUUUGCGCAAUGCUCGUAAGAGUGACGCAGCGACGCCGCGUGAAUGACGAAGGCCUUCGGGUCGUAAAGUUCUUUCGACAGGGAAGAAAAUGCCUAUAAGUAACUGUGUAUGUAUUGACGGUACCUGUAUAAGCAGCCCCGGCUAACUCCGUGCCAGCAGCCGCGGUAAUACGGAGGGGGCGAGCGCUGUUCGGAGUGACUGGGCGUAAAGAGCACGUAGGCGGUGUUGUAAGUCAUUAGUCAAAGACUAGAGCUCAACUUUAGUAAGGCUAGUGAUACUAUAAUACGAGAGUAUCAGAGAGGAUUGCAGAAUUCCUGGUGUAGGGGUGAAAUGCGUAGAUAUCAGGAGGAAUACCGUUAGCGAAGGCGGCAAUCUGGCUGGAAACUGACGCUGAGGUGCGAAAGCGUGGGUAGCAAACAGGAUUAGAUACCCGAGUAGUC